CCUACGGGAGGCAGCAGUGAGGAAUAUUGGUCAAUGGGCGCGAGCCUGAACCAGCCAAGUAGCGUGAAGGAUGACUGCCCUACGGGUUGUAAACUUCUUUUAUAAAGGAAUAAAGUGAGGCACGUGUGCCCUUUUGUAUGUACCUUAUGAAUAAGGAUCGGCUAACUCCGUGCCAGCAGCCGCGGUAAUACGGAGGGUCCGAGCGUUAUCCGGAUUUAUUGGGUUUAAAGGGAGCGUAGAUGGGUUGUUAAGUCAGUUGUGAAAGGUUGCGGCUCAACCGUAAAAUUGCAGUUGAUACUGGCAGUCUUGAGUACAGUUGAGGUAGGCGGAAUUCGUGGUGUAGCGGUGAAAUGCUUAGAUAUCACGAAGAACACCGAUUGCGAAGGCAGCUUACUAAACUGCAACUGACAUUGAUGCUCGAAAGUGUGGGUAGCAAACAGGAUUAGAUACCCCUGUAGUC
rnacentral:rRNA from 1 species